UUGACCUCGGAUCAGGUAGGGAUACCCGCUGAACUUAAGCAUAUCAAUAAGCGGAGGAAAAGAAACCAACCGGGAUUGCCUCAGUAACGGCGAGUGAAGCGGCAAGAGCUCAAAUUUGAAAUCUGGCCCCUCCGGGGUCCGAGUUGUAAUUUGCAGAGGAUGCUUCGGGUGCGGCCCCUGUCUAAGUGCCCUGGAACGGGCCGUCAGAGAGGGUGAGAAUCCCGUCUUGGGCAGGGUGCCCGUGCCCGUGUGAAGCUCCUUCGACGAGUCGAGUUGUUUGGGAAUGCAGCUCUAAAUGGGUGGUAAAUUUCAUCUAAAGCUAAAUACCGGCCGGAGACCGAUAGCGCACAAGUAGAGUGAUCGAAAGAUGAAAAGCACUUUGAAAAGAGAGUUAAACAGCACGUGAAAUUGUUGAAAGGGAAGCGCUUGCGACCAGACUCGGCCCCGGGGUUCAGCCAGCACUCGUGCUGGUGUACUUCCCCGGGGGCGGGCCAGCGUCGGUUUGGGCGGCCGGUCAAAGGCCCCAGGAAUGUGUCGCCCUCCGGGGCGUCUUAUAGCCUGGGGUGCAAUGCGGCCAGCCCGGACCGAGGAACGCGCU
rnacentral:rRNA from 1 species